UGCCGCAAACAGUAGUACUUUGUUAUUUUCCACCAUUCUAUUUAGAUCAUUUUAGUAUUAAGUUUGUGAAGCAGGAUAAAUAAAACCAAAUAAACAAUAUUAUCUUGAAAUAAUUCAUGCUACUGUCAGAAUGUGAAGUCGAUUGUCUUUAAAUAACCUGGUUUAUUGUGGAAAAUUAUUUUUAGCUACAGCUGUUCGUGAUCUACGCCAAAUUGGUCCAUUAAUGGCUUGUGAAAUAUUCAAAAAGUAUUUUAUUCAUGCAGUUUGACAGUGACUUCAAAUACGGCUCACACACGUUUCGUUUUUGGCAUUUUCAGUUGCUAAGCUCAUAAAUACGCGGCGCAUUGGUUUUCAAUUUGAACACAUGUUUGGGCCAAGAUUUGUAUUGGUUCCGAUUAUGUGAGUGUGAGUCGGUCUCGGCUUUAUGAUUGCGAGUACACAUGACAUACAUACAUAUAUUAUUGGCGGUCCUAUAAAGCCACUCGUCGCGUGUGUACGUUUAUUUAUUCGAAUAUUAUUCAAACAAUGGCGAGAAUGCCCCUAUAAACGUGAAAUUGAAUCAAUGUUAAUUCGAUCUAAAACACAUUGCGAAGCAGAAUCAAAUCUAUUUACAAUGUAAUUAAUGAGUACCAAGUAAAGUGACAACAGUCGAUGCCUCAAUAAACAACACGAGGACGAGGGCUUUCAAAUGACAGCCAGUGUGUAGAUGAAUAAAUAAGCCAUGACCACGCCCACAACACAUACUACGCAUACAUGCACAUAGGAUACGCGUAUCCGUAUGUACGAGUAAGCAUGCAUAUAUUGGUUAUCGACACAGAUGCGAUAUACGAGCAGUAAUAUCGUAUGAAUGUGGAACGCCCAUGGGAGGAAUAAAGAACUCGUACUCGUAUAUUCGUCACCAUUUGGUUACGCUAGCUCUGGGAUCAAAUCGAAAAUGGUAAUGAGCCCUCCAGCCUUUUGGCAUUCCGAUGAAUAGAGCUGAGCCCCACAAGAAUACCGUAUACGCUUAUACACAUACAUAUCCACGUUUAUAGGUAUUUACAUACAGACAUUCGCAUUCUCUCAUACUAAAUUUAUGUAUUGAAUUUCAACCGCUACUGUCAGUAAGCGUCGAGAACACACAUGAAUAAUAGCUGUUCUGGUUUCCUGAUUGUCAGACCAAGCUCUAACCUCAUAAUGCUAAUUGCGAUUAUAAUUAUAGCGACGUGAUCUCAUUCUCGAUGAUAUAUUACUUGCUUGCACUUGUAAUAGAAAAUUAUCAUGUGACUAUUUAAGGGGGAAAUAUCGUUAAAACUUAUAAAAUAUUAAAAACUAAAUGAAUACUUACGAAUAUUAAAUGCGAUAUGAAAAUGUCUUCAAAAGAUAGAUUAUUUAGAAUAAGUU